rnacentral:rRNA from 1 species
UACGUAGGGUGCAAGCGUUAAUCGGAAUUACUGGGCGUAAAGCGUGCGCAGGCGGUGAUGUAAGACAGGUGUGAAAUCCCCGGGCUUAACCUGGGAACUGCAUUUGUGGACUGCAUCGCUGGAGUGCGGCAGAGGGGGAUGGAAUUCCGCGUGUAGCAGUGAAAUGCGUAGAUAUGCGGAGGAACACCGAUGGCGAAGGCAAUCCCCUGGGCCUGCACUGACGCUCAUGCACGAAAGCGUGGGGAGCAACAGG